rnacentral:tRNA from 1 species
GGUGAGGUGCCCGAGCGGCCUAAGGGAACGGUCUUGAAAACCGUCGAGGUUCAUAGCCUCCGUGGGUUCAAAUCCCACCCUCACCG